GGAGGAAUUUUGCGCAAUGGCCGCAAGGCUGACGCAGCAACGCCGCGUGGGUGAUGAAGGCCUUCGGGUCGUAAAGCCCUGUCGGGUGGGAAGAAAGGGCCGACGAGGACAAGUCGUGGGUUUUGACGGUACCACCAGAGGAAGCACCGGCUAACUCCGUGCCAGCAGCCGCGGUAAUACGGAGGGUGCGAGCGUUAUUCGGAAUUACUGGGCGUAAAGGGCGAGUAGGCGGCGGGAUAAGUCUGAUGUGAAAGCCCCGGGCUUAACCUGGGAAGUGCAUUGGAGACUGUUUCGCUUGAGUACCGGAGAGGAAGGGGGAAUUCCCGGUGUAGAGGUGAAAUUCGUAGAGAUCGGGAGGAAUACCAGUGGCGAAGGCGCCCGUUCUGGACGGUUACUGACGCU
rnacentral:rRNA from 1 species